UAACACGUGAGCAACCUGCCUUUCAGAGGGGGAUAACAGUUGGAAACGACUGCUAAUACCGCAUAACGCUGCGAUGGGGCAUCCCGAUGCAGCCAAAGGAGCAAUCCGCUGAAAGAUGGGCUCGCGGCCGAUUAGCUAGUUGGUGGGGCAACGGCCCACCAAGGCGACGAUCGGUAGCCGGACUGAGAGGUUGAUCGGCCACAUUGGGACUGAGACACGGCCCAGACUCCUACGGGAGGCAGCAGUGGGGGAUAUUGCACAAUGGAGGAAACUCUGAUGCAGCGACGCCGCGUGAGGGAAGACGGUCUUCGGAUUGUAAACCUCUGUCUUUGGGGAAGAAAAUGACGGUACCCAAAGAGGAAGCUCCGGCUAACUACGUGCCAGCAGCCGCGGUAAUACGUAGGGAGCGAGCGUUGUCCGGAAUUACUGGGUGUAAAGGGAGCGUAGGCGGGCGAGAAAGUUGAAUGUUAAAUCUACCGGCUUAACUGGUAGCUGCGUUCAAAACUUCUUGUCUUGAGUGAAGUAGAGGCAGGCGGAAUUCCUAGUGUAGCGGUGAAAUGCGUAGAUAUUAGGAGGAACACCAGUGGCGAAGGCGGCCUGCUGGGCUUUAACUGACGCUGAGGCUCGAAAGCGUGGGAGCAAACAGGAUUAGAUACCCUGGUAGU
rnacentral:rRNA from 1 species